GUCCCACGUUCGGAUUGUAGUCUGCAACCCGACUACAUGAAGCCGGAAUCGCUAGUAAUCGCGGAUCAGAAUGCCGCGGUGAAUACGUUCCCGGGUCUUGUACACACCGCCCGUCACACCAUGGGAGUUGGAAAUGCCCGAAGUCAGUGGCCCAACCGGAAGGGGGGAGCUGCCGAAGGCAGGUUCGAUGACUGGGGUGAAGUCGUAACAAGGUAAC
rnacentral:rRNA from 1 species